UUUAGCUGCUUCGCCUACGGUACAACGAUCUUCUUUUUGUAAAACCAAAAACUCUUUAAUGGAAAGAGUGUUUCGAUAGCCGCAAAUGAUUAUUCGUUUACAGGACUAAUAAUUUUUCUCUCGCGUCUCUCCUACUACAAAGAAAGGGUAAGUAUUUGGGUCCAUAUUCUUGUGACGGGCAAAAAAUACUCACACUAUUGUACAUUAUCGUGCACGUACACAAGAAAAUAUUCGCAAGCAAAUUCAUGGUCUUGCUCAUAUUGCAAUUGUGUGCUCACAACUGCUAUAAACAUAUUCUCAGACACAAAAUUUUCCUUUACUUUUACUGGGCAAAGAUCAGUCAGUAUAUUGAGCAGCUCGGUCGAGUGUAGAUGGUAAACUCGGAAAGUCACAAUACAAGAAUGCUAGUAUGUCCAAUGAUAAAAAUCAUAAGAGCAACAGACAAAUGGUUGCCAGGUAAAAGAAUUUAUUUGGUGAUAUUUACGCGAUAAGGAAAUAUCUAUCCCAAACAUAACGAAGGCAGCAGUUCAUAAUACAACACCAUAAUGGAAGGCGUUCAAUAUAAUUGUAUAUCAUAAAAUCGAAACAAAACCAAAUAAACUCUGAAAGAGUUGGUAUUACCAACUGAGAUCUGCUUAAAGUUGCUAAAAAUUCAAAUCUGAAUCAUGUUACAAUAUUAAUGGGUCGGUUAUGGAUGGCAACAAAACUUCAGUUGCGUUGCAAAAGGCUAAAUUUGUUGCAGAAAUUUAAAUUUUUGUUUUGAUUUACGUACUUUUUUACAAAUUUCUUAGUAGCUGAACUUUGAAAAUACUGAUAUUGAAUGUUCACACAUAAUUCCAACGUUAUAAUCAUUUUUAGUUCGUGGUUUUGUCUCCUAGCAACGCAACUGUAGUCGAGUUGCAAUCCAUAAUGGACUUAUAAAUUGAACUUGGCGUCCUUUUUAAUAUGCACAAUCUAGAUUGAAAUUAAAAAGAAUAUAAAUAUAUACAUACAUA